UAAAUUUAAUCGUUGGUCUUGUUGAUUAGUUUAUUGUAGUUAUUGAUAUGUUUCAGUAUUUUAUUGGGACUUGAGCCUAUUCAUCCAAUUAUUACAUGCAUCUAAUCUGGCACUUCAGUUUGAGGUUAAUUUCAUGGGCCUUCUUUGGAACUAUUGGCUAGCUUUUGGUUAAUCAAAGACUCAGAUUACCAACUUUAAGCUUACAUUUUAUGGCUAGCAUUUGUCUACUGACCAAAUAUUUGGAAACCGUUCUGCUACUCUUAAAGUUAAAAUCCUAGGCAUAAUGGUAAUGAGAGACGAUGAGAAGGAGCAAACGAAAGGCUUCAAUACCCUUCAGUCACAUCGUCAAUUGAUGAUUGGUAUUUCCAACAAAUAUGGCUCAAUUAGGAUAAAAGAUACAGAAUGGAUAAAGGAAUAAGAUGUAGAACUGGAAAACCCAAACAAAUGACGGAAUGAAAUAAAGUCAAACAAAUGGAAGAAGGAAAAAAGAGAAAGAAAAGACAUUCGUUUUUCAUUUUAUUACCUACGUUCAUUCUUCUUCUUCACCAUCAACAUCAACAUCAUCUUCAUCUUACUAUCAACAUUUUACCUUGCAGUAACAUUGGAAGAAUCCUCGUUCCCUCCAUCUUACUCAGAAUAGUUCCAAAUGAAGAUCCCAUGAGAAAUCUGUUAGCCAAACAAUAAGAGAUGAAAAAACGUAUCUCUUAAUUGAAUGGACCAUAUCCAUUGACUUCUUCAUCAACAUCAUUAUCUUCUCAUUUUUCCGUUUCCUUUCCUUUAACUGAUUUGGCCUUCUCGACUUUACCUGAUAGUCAAAGAUGUCCAUCACUAAACGAGCAAAUAACCCUGAACUCCUUCCAUCCUCAUCAUUUCCUAAUUCACCUUUUUUUAUUACAUCACAACAUUAAGAAAAGAUUCAACUAUUUACUUCCUAAUUAACGUUUCUCUCCUCAAUUAUUGAUCAACCUGUAAUUGUAAAUCAAUAAUACAUAAUGGUUAUGGUUUAAUCUUUUCUCAAAUUGUUCAGUAUUCAUUAUUGCUUCAGGCCUUCAGAUGAACUCAAAGUUAAAUUCUCUAACAGAUUAUGUUCCCAUUAACAAUACAAAUUCAAUGGUAAUAUUCAUUGAGAAUAUAUUCAUCCUUAACCUUUCAUGGCAUUUCCACUCAACACAAAGAGAACGUCUAUAAUCAUGGAAAUGAAUUUGAUUCCAUAACCAUUUAUUAUUCUUGCUCUUAUAACGAGUUUAAUACCUUUUUUUGUUACACAUUAUCAGAUAAACUCAAAUGUACACCUUUUUUGUAACCCUCUAAAGUUGCAACUUAAUUGUCAGCUUAUUGAUUAUGAAGAUCAACUUAAUUGUGAUUAAUUACCAUGUAAAAAGUUGUUACCAUUUGCCUCAGCAAAAUGGGUUUAGGUUAAGGUCAAAGUAAACAUUACUUUGUAUGAUAUAAUAAAGAUUGAUUAACACAAAA